ACUCCUACGGGAGGCAGCAGUGGGGAAUAUUGCACAAUGGGCGUAAGCCUGAUGCAGCAACGCCGCGUGAGGGACGACGGCCUUCGGGUUGUAAACCUCUUUUAGUANGGAAGAAGCGAAAGUGACGGUACCUGCAGAAAAAGCACCGGCUAACUACGUGCCAGCAGCCGCGGUAAUACGUAGGGUGCAAGCGUUAUCCGGAAUUAUUGGGCGUAAAGAGCUCGUAGGCGGUUUGUCGCGUCUGCUGUGAAAACUGGAGGCUCAACCUCCAGCCUGCAGUGGGUACGGGCAGACUAGAGUGCGGUAGGGGAGAUUGGAAUUCCUGGUGUAGCGGUGGAAUGCGCAGAUAUCAGGAGGAACACCGAUGGCGAAGGCAGAUCUCUGGGCCGUAACUGACGCUGAGGAGCGAAAGCAUGGGGAGCGAACAGGAUUAGAUACCCUGGUAGUCCAUGCCGUAAACGUUGGGAACUAGAUGUAGGGGCCAUUCCACGGUUUCUGUGUCGCAGCUAACGCAUUAAGUUCCCCGCCUGGGGAGUACGGCCGCAAGGCUAAAACUCAAAGGAAUUGACGGGGGCCCGCACAAGCGGCGGAGCAUGCGGAUUAAUUCGAUGCAACGCGAAGAACCUUACCAAGGCUUGACAUAUACCGGAAAAGUUCAGAAAUGUUCUCCCCGCAAGGUCGGUAUACAGGUGGUGCAUGGUUGUCGUCAGCUCGUGUCGUGAGAUGUUGGGUUAAGUCCCGCAACGAGCGCAACCCUCGUUCUAUGUUGCCAGCACGUAAUGGUGGGAACUCAUAGGAGACUGCCGGGGUCAACUCGGA
rnacentral:rRNA from 1 species